rnacentral:rRNA from 1 species
AUUGGACGCUGGCGGCAGGCCUAACACAUGCAAGUCGAGCGGAUGAAGGGAGCUUGCUCCUGGAUUCAGCGGCGGACGGGUGAGUAAUGCCUAGGAAUCUGCCUGGUAGUGGGGGAUAACGUCCGGAAACGGGCGCUAAUACCGCAUACGUCCUGAGGGAGAAAGUGGGGGAUCUUCGGACCUCACGCUAUCAGAUGAGCCUAGGUCGGAUUAGCUAGUUGGUGGGGUAAAGGCCUACCAAGGCGACGAUCCGUAACUGGUCUGAGAGGAUGAUCAGUCACACUGGAACUGAGACACGGUCCAGACUCCUACGGGAGGCAGCAGUGGGGAAUAUUGGACAAUGGGCGAAAGCCUGAUCCAGCCAUGCCGCGUGUGUGAAGAAGGUCUUCGGAUUGUAAAGCACUUUAAGUUGGGAGGAAGGGCAGUAAGUUAAUACCUUGCUGUUUUGACGUUACCAACAGAAUAAGCACCGGCUAACUUCGCG